UACAGAGGUCCCGAGCGUUGUUCGGAUUCACUGGGCGUAAAGGGUGCGUAGGUGGUGAGGUAAGUCGGAUGUGAAAUCUCCGAGCUCAACUCGGAAAUGGCAUUGGAAACUACCUUGCUCGAGGGUUGGAGGGGGGACUGGAAUGCUUGGUGUAGCAGUGAAAUGCGUAGAUCUCGAGAGGAACACCAGUGGCGAAGGCGGGUCUCUGGACAACACCUGACGCUGAGGCACGAAAGCCAGGGGAGCAAACGGG
rnacentral:rRNA from 1 species